UACGAAGGUGGCAAGCGUUGUUCGGAUUUACUGGGCGUACAGGGAGCGUAGGCGGUUGGAUAAGCCCUCCGUGAAAUCUCCAGGCUUAACCUGGAAAGUGCAGAGGGGACUGUUCUGCUAGAGGAUGGGAGAGGAGCGCGGAAUUCCCGGUGUAGCGGUGAAAUGCGUAGAGAUCGGGAGGAAGGCCGGUGGCGAAGGCGGCGCUCUGGAACAUUUCUGACGCUGAGGCUCGAAAGCGUGGGGAGCAAACAGG
rnacentral:rRNA from 1 species